rnacentral:rRNA from 1 species
GCGGCGGACGGGUUAGUAACGCGUGGGAACGUGCCCUUCACUACGGAAUAGCCUCUGGAAACGGAGAUUAAUGCCGUAUACGCCCUUCGGGGGAAAGAUUUAUCGGUGAAGGAUCGGCCCGCGUCUGAUUAGAUAGUUGGUGGGGUAAUGGCCUACCAAGUCUACGAUCAGUAGCUGGUUUGAGAGGAUGAUCAGCAACACUGGGACUGAGACACGGCCCAGACUCCUACGGGAGGCAGCAGUGGGGAAUCUUAGACAAUGGGCGCAAGCCUGAUCUAGCCAUGCCGCGUGAGUGAUGAAGGUCUUAGGAUCGUAAAGCUCUUUCGCCAGGGAUGAUAAUGACAGUACCUGGUAAAGAAACCCCGGCUAACUCCGUGCCAGCAGCCGCGGUAAUACGGAGGGGGUUAGCGUUGUUCGGAAUUACUGGGCGUAAAGCGCGCGUAGGCGGAUUGGAAAGUUGGGGGUGAAAUCCCGGGGCUCAACCCCGGAACUGCCUCCAAAACUAUCAAUCUAGAGUUCGAGAGAGGUGAGUGGAACUCCGAGUGUAGA